rnacentral:tRNA from 1 species
AUCCCGAAGAAGGUCUACGAAGCCUUCGACGCGGCCAACAGCUGACCCUGCCCGCCCGGCGUCCGGCCGCGG